GGGCAUGGUGGCUUGUGACACAGCCUUUGGUGAAAACCUAGGUGCAACAGCUUCUAGUGCAGAUCUUGGUGGUAGUAGCAAUUAUUCAAAUGAAAACUUUGAAGACUGAAGUGGAGAAGGGUUUCAUGUGAACAGUGCUUGGACAUGGGUUAGCCGGUCAUAAGAGAUAGGUAUGUUUUGCGCAUGCAGGCUUUGCUUCGUUCCUUGACAAGGAAUGGGGUUAAUAUCCCCCAGCCAGGACGUGGAUAUUGCAUGGUAACAUAAUGUAGGUUGGUGAUGCAAUGGGAAGCCUUGGUAAGCGUUGUCUUUUCUGUUUAAUUGUUUAUUACCCUGAAAUCAGAUUGCCUGGAGAUAGGGUUGAAUGGCAAGCAAAGCACCUUGUCUUCUGAGGUGUCUGGUGUGCUUUCAGUUGCCCUUGAAAAACCAAAUGAUUGUUUUAUUCUCUCCCCUGGUCGUGCCCAUAUCCGCAUCAGGUCUCCAAGGUUUGUAGCCUCUGGUCUUUGGAACAAAGUAGGUAAGGGAAGUCGGCAAACUAGAUCCGUAACUUUGGGAAAAGGAUUGGCUCUGAGGGUUGGGUGUAGGGGUCCUUGUGCUGAUGUUUGAGCU
rnacentral:rRNA from 1 species